AUGACCCACACCACCCAUAGCGUUCUCAAAUGGAAAAAAAAGAACAUUCAUCAUAUUCUAAAACAAGGUAAUGGCUUGUACACAUCUAUGCUAGAAAAUAAGGAAAUCAGUGCAGCCAAAACCAGUGGGCAUAUUUUCAUUUCCGAGUUACCCAGACACUGCAAAUUAAACAAUAAAUUAUUUAGUUUGGAAUAUUUUGAUACACUCACUGGAAGUCUUGAUCAAAAGCAUGAUUAUGACGCUUCUUUGCAAAACAUAGCCAUGCCUUUAGAAGAGGCUAUUCAGAAGACACUGCUGCAGACAGACACAUGCUUGCUCAACAUCCAAGGAAGUGUCUGUGCCGUUUUCAAGGUCGAAACUGCUUUUGCAGUUUUCGAUCCUCAUUCUCGUAGUACUUGGGGUUCGGUUGCACCGGAUGGAACCAGCAUAGUAGCGCACUAUGCUACUGUGUAUGAGUUAUGUGCCCAUAUUGAGAACCUUGUCAAUUCCUUAUAUCAAAAUCAUCCACAUGAUUUUGAUAUCCCAAACAAGGUGUUUGAAGUCACUGGUGUGAAAGCUGUUGAGGUAGACUCACCAUUUACUGCUUUAACUGCACAGCCUGAAGCCAGCACUUCGGCACAUGAUGGUACUUUGGACACUGACAGUGACUCUGAUCUCUGUGUCCUUUCGGUAACAGAUAGAAAUCCCCUUGCAGCAAACACGUCUUUUUCCCUUGAAACUGUGCAGCCUGUAGCAAACACUUCUACAUGUGACACAACUGUAAACAUUGACAGUGAUCCUCCAAUUCACACAGAGGGUGCAUCAGAUGUCUGUUUAAUUUCUGUAACAGAUAGCCCCAAUAUAAUAUUUACUGGAUUGACAUUAAGGGAAAAAAACAGGAUCUGCCACAAACUGAAUAUCGUACCAAGUUUAGAUCAAGAUAUUGUUGUACAAACCUUUGAUAUGGCACAGCCUGAGCCAUGCCAAACAACAUCCAUUGAAGGUGACGGUAAUUGUUUCUUUCGUUCUCUUUCGUCUGUAUUGAGUGGUUGCGAGUCACAUCACAAGGCCUUUCGAAAGGCUGUAGUGAAUCACGUCUCAAAUAAUCCACUUCAUUACAUUACUUGUCUAAGACGGCAAUUUGCUUCUGUGGAGCAAUAUCUCCGGGACUCAAAAAUGAAAUAUGUUGGAUCUUGGGCAACAGAGUUGGAAAUACAAGCUUCUGCAGAUUUGCUCUGUGUUGAUAUUUACACAUACAGUCAACAGAAAUGGAUUACGUUUACGGCGAACAUUGAGCCAAUUUCAAGAAAAGCUAUAUAUCUGAAUCACUGCAACGAAUGCCAUUAUGAACCAAUUGCAUGUGUUAAAGUAAAAACCUCUCAUACUUGCUUUAGUUUAACUAGCUUCUGUGAAAUGUCACACAAAAUGUCCAAUGCAGACCUUGUUUCACCACGUAAAUUUACUGAUAAAGUAAAAAAUCGAAGAAAAAAGAAAACAUAUGCUGAGGACACAGAAUAUAGGCAAGUUAAAAACCUGCAAUCACAACAAAGAUAUAAUUGUGAUGAGCAGUAUCAAGCAAAAUCAAAAAACCGCAGUAUUGAAAAAUAUGCCACAUAUGAAACGUUUAAAGAACAUGUAAAAAAA
ensembl:lncRNA